rnacentral:rRNA from 1 species
GGUAGCACGUCCUUGGUGACUACCAGCACGGCCAUCGUUCUGCGCUUCCACUUCCGUGGAAACUCAGAGGCAACAGCCGGGCCGGUCGUCGCUCUUGAGCGGCACAGCUCAUCAUCCUUGAGGAUCGGCGCAGAGAGUUGCGUAUCCUACCACGUAACUGUGGAGAGGUAGAGGCAACUCCUGUUCCGGUUGUUCUCAGUUCCGAGAGCUUUGGGUCGGGUCGAGGCAACCGAAAGGGCCACGACCCUUUAUCGUCAGCAGCAUCCGAGACCAAAAGCGGGAGCGAGGUUGCCUUGAUAGCAACGGGCACGUAAUGUGCCAGCCCCACGAGGCAACGCCGCAAGCGCUAUUUGGCCGCAGCGGCACACCCAAUGGGCGUCCGCCGCGAGGCAACAAUUAU